rnacentral:rRNA from 1 species
UACAGAGGUCUCAAGCGUUGUUCGGAUUCAUUGGGCGUAAAGAGCUCGGUAGGCGGCUUGUCGCGUCGGCUGUGAAAACCUGGGGCUCAACCCCGGGCCUGCAGCCGAUACGGGCAAGCUAGAAUUCGGUAGGGGAGACUGGAAUUCCUGGUGUAGAGGUGAAAUUCGUAGAUAUCAGGAGGAACACCAGUGGCGAAGGCGGCUUCCUGGACACCAACUGACGCUGAGACGGCGAAAGCGUGGGAGCAACAGGG